AUUGAACGCUGGCGGCAUGCUUUACACAUGCAAGUCGAACGGUAACAGGCCUUCGGGUGCUGACGAGUGGCGAACGGGUGCGUAAUGCAUCGGAACGUACCCAGAGGUGGGGGAUAACGCAGCGAAAGCUGUGCUAAUACCGCAUGUGAUCUGAGGAUGAAAGCGGGGGACCGAGCAGCAAUGUUUGGCCUCGCGCCUUUGGAGCGGCCGAUGUCGGAUUAGCUAGUUGGUGGGGUAAAGGCCUACCAAGGCGACGAUCCGUAGCUGGUCUGAGAGGACGACCAGCCACACUGGGACUGAGACACGGCCCAGACUCCUACGGGAGGCAGCAGUGGGGAAUUUUGGACAAUGGGCGCAAGCCUGAUCCAGCAAUGCCGCGUGCGGGAAGAAGGCCUUCGGGUUGUAAAACGCUUUUGGCAGGAACGAAACGGUGUCCGCUAAUACCGGGCGCUAAUGACGGUACCUGCAGAAUAAGCACCGGCUAACUACGUG
rnacentral:rRNA from 1 species